rnacentral:rRNA from 1 species
GACGAACGCUGGCGGCGUGCCUAAUACAUGCAAGUAGAACGCACAGUUUAUACCGUAGCUUGCUACACCAUAGACUGUGAGUUGCGAACGGGUGAGUAACGCGUAGGUAACCUGCCCGGUAGCGGGGGAUAACUAUUGGAAACGAUAGCUAAUACCGCAUAAUAUUGAUUAUUGCAUGAUAAUUAAUUGAAAGGUGCAAUUGCACCACUACCAGAUGGACCUGCGUUGUAUUAGCUAGUAGGUGAGGUAACGGCUCACCUAGGCGACGAUACAUAGCCGACCUGAGAGGGUGAUCGGCCACACUGGGACUGAGACACGGCCCAGACUCCUACGGGAGGCAGCAGUAGGGAAUCUUCGGCAAUGGACGAAAGUCUGACCGAGCAACGCCGCGUGAGUGAAGAAGGUUUUCGGAUCGUAAAGCUCUGUUGUAAGAGAAGAACGGGUGUGAGAGUGGAAAGUUCACACUGUGACGGUAUCUUACCAGAAAGGGACGGCUAACUACGUG